rnacentral:tRNA from 1 species
GCGAGAGUGGCGGAAUUGGCAGACGCACUGGACUUAGGAUCCAGCGGGCUAACACCCUUGGGGGUUCGAGUCCCCCCUCUCGCACCA